rnacentral:tRNA from 1 species
AUAGUAGUAGUAUAAUUAGUAUAUUUGUCUUCCAAACAAAAGGUCUAGAUUUUAGCUGCUAUA